rnacentral:rRNA from 1 species
CUGGCGGCAGGCUUAACACAUGCAAGUCGAGCGGGGAAGGUUGCUUCGGUAACUGACCUAGCGGCGGACGGGUGAGUAAUGCUUAGGAAUUUGCCUAUUAGUGGGGGACAACGUUUCGAAAGGAACGCUAAUACCGCAUACGUCCUACGGGAGAAAGCAGGGGAUCACUUGUGACCUUGCGCUAAUAGAUGAGCCUAAGUUGGAUUAGCUAGUUGGUGGGGUAAAGGCCUACCAAGGCGACGAUCUGUAGCGGGUUUGAGAGGAUGAUUCGCCACACUGGGAAUGAGACACGGCCCCGACUCCUUCGGGAGGCAGCAGUGGGGAAUAUUGGACAAUGGGCGGAAGCCUGAUCCAGCCCUGCCGCGUGUGUGAAGAAGGCCUUUUGGUUGUAAAGCACUUUAAGCGAGGAGGAGGAGCUUCAGGUUAAUACCCUGGAUGCUUGGACGUUACUCGCAGAAUAAGCCCCGGCUAACUUUGUGCCCGCCGCCGCGGU